AGAGUUUGAUCCUGGCUCAGGAUGAACGCUGGCGGCGUGCUUAACACAUGCAAGUCGAACGGACUUUACAUGAAGCCUAGCGAUUGUAAAGUUAGUGGCGGACGGGUGAGUAACGCGUGAAUAACCUGCCCUGUACCGGGGGACAACAGUUGGAAACGGCUGCUAAUACCGCAUAAGCGCACGGUUCCGCAUGGAACAGUGUGAAAAACUCCGGUGGUACAGGAUGGAUUCGCGUCUGAUUAGCCAGUUGGUGGGGUAACGGCCUACCAAAGCAACGAUCAGUAGCCGGCCUGAGAGGGUGAACGGCCACAUUGGGACUGAGACACGGCCCAAACUCCUACGGGAGGCAGCAGUGGGGAAUAUUGCACAAUGGGGGAAACCCUGAUGCAGCGACGCCGCGUGAGUGAAGAAGUUAUUCGUAACGUAAAGCUCUAUCAGCAGGGAAGAAAAUGACGGUACCUGACUAAGAAGCCCCGGCUAACUACGUGCCAGCAGCCGCGGUAAUACGUAGGGGGCAAGCGUUAUCCGGAUUUACCGGGUGUAAAGGGAGCGUAGACGGCACAGCAAGUCUGAUGUGAAAGCCCGGGGCCCAACCCCGGAACUGCAUUGGAAACUGCUGGGCUUGAGUGCAGGAGAGGUAAGCGGAAUUCCUAGUGUAGCGGUGAAAUGCGUAGAUAUUAGGAGGAACACCAGUGGCGAAGGCGGCUUACUGGACUGUAACUAACGUUGAGGCUCGAAAGCGUGGGUAGCAAACAGGAUUAGAUACCCUGGUAGUCCACACCGUAAACGAUGAUUACUAGGUGUUGGGAGAUUGACCCUCUCAGUGCCGCAGUUAACACAAUAAGUAAUCCACCUGGGGAGUACGACCGCAAGGUUGAAACUCAAAGGAAUUGACGGGGGCCCGCACAAGCAGUGGAGUAUGUGGUUUAAUUCGACGCAACGCGAAGAACCUUACCAAGUCUUGACAUCCCUUGACGAUGCUGGAAACAGUAUUUCUCUUCGGAGCAAGGAGACAGGUGGUGCAUGGUUGUCGUCAGCUCGUGUCGUGAGAUGUUGGGUUAAGUCCCGCAACGAGCGCAACCCUUAUGGUCAGUUACUACGCAAGAGGACUCUGGCCAGACUGCCGUUGACAAAACGGAGGAAGGUGGGGAUGACGUCAAAUCAUCAUGCCCUUUAUGACUUGGGCUACACACGUACUACAAUGGCGUUAAACAAAGAGAAGCAAGACCGCGAGGUGGAGCAAAACUCAGAAACAACGUCCCAGUUCGGACUGCAGGCUGCAACUCGCCUGCACGAAGUCGGAAUUGCUAGUAAUCGUGGAUCAGCAUGCCACGGUGAAUACGUUCCCGGGCCUUGUACACACCGCCCGUCACACCAUGAGAGCCGGGGGGACCCGAAGUCGGUAGUCUAACCGCAAGGAGGACGCCGCCGAAGGUAAAACUGGUGAUUGGGGUGAAGUCGUAACAAGGUA
rnacentral:rRNA from 1 species